rnacentral:rRNA from 1 species
AUUGAACGCUGGCGGAAUGCUUUACACAUGCAAGUCGAACGGCAGCACGGGGCAACCUGGUGGCGAGUGGCGAACGGGUGAGUAAUACAUCGGAACGUGCCCAAUCGUGGGGGAUAACGUAGCGAAAGCUACGCUAAUACCGCAUACGAUCUACGGAUGAAAGCGGGGGAUCGCAAGACCUCGCGCGAAUGGAGCGGCCGAUGGCAGAUUAGGUAGUUGGUGGGGUAAAGGCUCACCAAGCCUGCGAUCUGUAGCUGGUCUGAGAGGACGACCAGCCACACUGGAACUGAGACACGGUCCAGACUCCUACGGGAGGCAGCAGUGGGGAAUUUUGGACAAUGGGCGCAAGCCUGAUCUAGCCAUGCCGCGUGAGCGAUGAAGGCCUUAGGGUUGUAAAGCUCUUUCAGGGGGGAAGAUAAUGACUGUACCCCCAGAAGAAGCCCCGGCUAACUCCGUGCCAGCAGCCGCGGUAAU